CCCUUAGAUGUCCUGGGCCGCACGCGCGCUACACUGAUGCAUUCAACGAGUCUAAAACCUGCUCUGAUAGGGGUGGGUAAUCUUUUGAAUGUGCAUCGUGAUUGGGAUAGAUGAUUGCAAUUUUUCAUCUUCAACGAGGAAUGCCUAGUAAACGCAAGUCAUCAGCUUGCAUUGAUUACGUCCCUGCCCUUUGUACACACCGCCCGUCGCUCCUACCGAUUGAAUGAUCCGAUGAAUAUCAUGGAUUGAGGAUGCAAGUAGGUUCACCUAUCUUCAUCUUCGAGAAGUGAAGUAAAUCUUAUCAUUUAGAGGAAGGAGAAGUCGUAACA
rnacentral:rRNA from 1 species